AUGGAUGCUAACUUUUGGAAAGGUGUGCUCCUAUGCAUAAAGGUGUUUGAGCCAUUAGUGAGAGUUCUUUGUUUGGUUGAUGGGGAUAUUAAGCCAUCGAUGGCUUGGUUGUAUGGAGAGUUGGUGAAUGCAAAGAGGGAGAUGAAGGAGGCAUUUAACAACUUGGAGAGGAACUACAAAGAUAUUAUGGCCAUUGUUGAUAAGAAGAUGAAUGGUCUUGAUUCUCCACUUCACAUGGCCGCAUAUGUCUUGAACUCAUACUUCAGUUAUGUGGAUAGAUCCAUCUUUACCACUGCAAAUAAAGGAUUCCAGGAGUCUGCUGAACAAUACUUUGCAAAUGAUCAUUAUACUUGCAUGUUGGUUGUCAAUGAUGAGUUUCCGAAGUAUGAAAACAAAGAAGGACCUUUUGGAAAGAGGCUUGCAAAAGCAUGUGAAAACAAAAGCUACAGCCCGAGUAUACUUGCUAGCUCAUGCCCCCUACUUGAUGAAAUCCUCUCUCUGACCUCUAGCUCUUCUGGUUGUGAAAGAAACUGGAGUGCAUUUGAAUCGGUAUACCUCUCCUCUCAUUUUUGUCUCCUCUCAUUUCUGACUUCUCACCUCUCAUUUUUGUUUUCUAAUAUGCUCAUGUGA
rnacentral:rRNA from 1 species